CAGUGUCGACUCUGUGUUGACUUCAAUUUCAAGCCUCCGAUCGAAGGCUGUCUUCAGUUUUAAGUCUUCGAUUUGUACAGGUUUCGAUUUACGAAUCUAUUUCUCACCGUCCAUAAAUCAUAGCCUAAUAUUUCUAGACUUUGUUUACACUGGUAAUCGUCCAUAUUUCAAACGAAAUAUCGUCGGAGACAGCGGAGGUCGUCGCUUCUUUCAAGGUCACGGAAGGAAAAGGAAUUAUAGUGAAUAACGUAUGCUCGAAGGGUAAUCGUACCUCAAAUAGAAAAUAUUUUCGGACAAAGAUUGCGGCAAGAAUUUACACGAGACGUGAUAAGUUCAAGAUUAUGAAAAAAGGUAUUAAACUUGUCUAAUAUACAUACAAGUAUAUCGUGUUUGAAAAAUUUGACAAAUAAGGUUGACACAAAAGCUGCAGUGUGUUAGAGAAAUUCGAACGGUACCUUUGUGUGGCAUGGCCAGUGAAUGGCUGAAAGAAGAAUCGAAGACGUCGUUUUCCACAUGGCGCACGACCCAAUUCGUCGAGAUCUUAUGUAACCGACAACAUUGAGUCAUUCAUGCUCAGCUGAUCGCAAUACACGGUUGCAAUUAAUCCGUGUUAACUUGACAAUUUCAUUAAAAAUAAUUGACGGCUUACUAUUUCGCUGUCUAGAGGAUGCCUCAUAAUCUCCUAUGCUGGGGUUACAAUUUGAAGCCGAAAAUUCCUUCUCAAGUUCUUUGGAAUAUUAUCAUGAUUGUUGAAGAUGGAAUAGUUGAACAAUACAAGAACCGCCCUGAUUAUUUUAUCCAGGCAAUUCACGUUCCAGCAGAGACAAACGAGCGAAAGUUUCAAGAAAGAAGAUGAAACGGAUGUAUAAUGUUCGAAGGAUCAAUCGUGGAGUCCGACCGAUAACAGUGACGGUAGAAGAAUUUGGCCUUGGCCCACUGUUUCAGCCAAGUGUAUACGGGCACGAGGAUCAGAAGAAAAAAAUCGAGCGGAGAAUGUGGAGGAAAGGGACUUCCGGUUGCUGACACGGUGACUACCAGACUGAAGCGCUUCAUAAUUACUUUUUCGGUUGUUGGUUCUUCGAGUUCUCAAACGCUUCAAAUGCAAGUGAGCUGCUUUCGAAACAAGCAAAUCCAAGAUAAAAACUUUUUAGCUCAUAUUUAUACGCAAAGAAAGCAGAGGAGCUUCGUUAAAAUCGAUGGAAAAAAUGUUAAUAAAUUGGUAAAUUUACUUUGUUGGACAAAAUAUACUAAAGCAGCUAAUAAUACAAGAAAUCAACAUUACUUUACAAAGCAGAACUGAAUGUUACAAAUGUAACAUCAAGCAGGAAAAAUAAGAAAGUGAAGCACAAUAAAGAAGUAUAUAUUUUAUUCAAAAGAUUACAUAGGUAAAGAAAGCAGUAUCAAGUUGUGCAAAACUAUUGCAUAGAACUGAUUGAUUAUCACCGAUUCAUUGAAUAACACGUGUUAUCAUACGUGUAUGUCAAUACAGCUGUAUCAACGAAAGACUAUCUAUGUCAAAGAUACUUUAGAACAAAAGCGGUGUGAUCGAAUCGACAUAAGAUACCUGACUAUCUAUAUUAGUAUCUACAAGUUGUUUAUGCAAGUUAUAAACUUUCCUAAUUGUCAAUACCGAGACUAAUAAGCUUUCCUGAUUGUCAAUAACAAUCAUAUCAAAGUUAUCUACAAUUGAUUCGACAAAGGUGUGCCAAAUCCCCAGAAGGGUUAAACGAAGUAAAAUAUCGACAUAGUCAUCUGGACACCUCUGCCUAUAAAAUAGUUUGGUCGGUUCGAUGAUCGAACCUCCAGUUGAUCGUGACGAUUACGUUGUCGAAGAAAGAGAGAGAAGAAGAAAAGGAAUUUCUGAUCGAGACGAAGCCCGGCCCGAGAGAGAAAGUUUCGGCGUCGAGAGGUGAAUAACGCGGCAUCAAAAUGAUCGCUAGUCCGUGCAAUAUUCGUCUAACCGCCACGACGAAUCGAGCAGAAUUACAUCGCGAUGAAUAAUUAAACUUGAUAACGAUCGACACUUAAUUAUUGCGGCGUAACAUGUAAUCCUCGAAAAUUUCGACCGCUGUCGAAACUGUCUAGUGUCGAAACUGCAGGAAGUGUGUUCCUUUUACUCGAAUGCGUGAAAAAUGAUUUCUGACUAGGUGUCUAGAAAAGGUAUUUGUUUCAAGAAUCCUUAAAUUCUCUUACUUAUUCAAUUUGCAAAAUGGAUCGAGAGGUUCUCAAUAAAAUAUAUUGCAGCAGUA
rnacentral:lncRNA from 1 species